rnacentral:lncRNA from 1 species
AUGCCCCAAAGGAACCCAUUACACAGAGACCUAAAGAAGCCGGGAGGGUGGAGGGGGUUCGGGAGGGGUGCCAAAGUCCAAACGAUGAUGGGAGGAGGAGGAGGGCCAAGGUUGAGAUCCUCAGGAGGUCUGUGGCGAAGACGAAGGUGGUCUGGAGGUCUGUGGCGAAGGCGAAGGCGGUCUGGAGGUCUGUGGCGAAGGCGAAGGCGGUCUGGAGGUCUGUGGCGAAGGCGAAGGCGGUCUGGAGGUCUGUGGCGAAGGCGAAGGCGGUCUGGAGGUCUGUGGCGAAGGCGAAGGCGCUCUGGAGGUCUGUGGCGAAGGCGAAGGCGCUCUGGAGGUCUGUGGCGAAGGCGAAGGCGUUCUGGAGGCCGGCUGCGAAGGCGAAGACGAAGGCGUUCUGGAGGCCGGCGACGAAGACGAAGGCGUUCUGGAGGCCGGCUGCGAAGGCGAAGACGAAGGCGUUCUGGAGGCCGGCUGCGAAGACGAAGGCGUUCUGGAGGCCGGCUGCGAAGACGAAGGCGUUCUGGAGGCCGGCGACGAAGACGAAGACGAAGGCGUUCUGGAGGCCGGCGACGAAGACGAAGACGAAGGCGUUCUGGAGGCCGGCGACGAAGACGAAGGCGUUCUGGAGGCCGGCGACGAAGACGAAGGCGUAGGCGUUCUGGAGGCCGGCGACGAAGACGAAGACGUAGGCGUUCUGGAGGCCGGCGACGAAGACGAAGGCGUGGGCUGGGACCCACUGGAGGCCGGCGACGAAGGCGAAGGCGUGGGCUGGGACCCACUGGAGGCCGGCGAAGAAGGCGAAGGCGUGGGCUGGGACCCACUGGAGGCCGGCGACGAAGGCGAAGGCGUGGGCUGGGACCCACUGGAGGCCGGCGACGAAGGCGAAGGCGUGGGCUGGGACCCACUGGAGGCCGGCGACGAAGGCGAAGGCGUGGGCUGGGACCCACUGGAGGCCGGCGGCAAAGGCGAAGGCGUGGGCUGGCACCCACUGGAGGCCGGCGGCAAAGGCGAAGGCGUGGGCUGGCACCCACUGGAGGCCGGCGGCAAAGGCGAAGGCGUGGGCUGGCACCCACUGGAGGCCGGCGGCGAAGGCGUGGGCUGGCACCCACUGGAGGCCGGCGGCGAAGGCGUGGGCUGGCACCCACUGGAGGCCGGCGGCGAAGGCGUGGGCUGGGACCCACUGGAGGCCGGCGGCGAAGACGUGGGCUGGGACCCACUGGAGGCCGACGGCGAAGACGUGGGCUGGGACCCACUGGAGGCCGGCGGCGGAGGCGAAGGCUGAAGCCCUCUUGA